UAGUAUCAUUGAAUAAUGUUUGAACCAGAAGGUACAUUUUCUGUGUCCCAGUUAGCGAUUUCCUUCACUGUCUGGAUAAGAGAAGAGAGGUGACUUGCAGAAUGCUAUAGACAGCUCCGCACAAUCACAGAACCACAGCCCCUGCUUUCCAGCCCACAGUGUUGAAUGCUGCACCCUCUCUCUCCCUGGGCUAUUUUCCCAUACUAGACCGAAGGCACAGAGUUGGCCUGACUUGUGUUCUACAAUUGAGAAAUGAGCACAGGAAGACCUUCAUCUCUGUCCACUCUCUUCUAGAAUGGAGCAUACGCUCUAAGUAUCUAAACCCUGCCCACUCCUCAGUAUAAAUUGAAAUUACUUUCUGUGAAAAUGUCCUGUAGUGUCCCAUGUUGGCAGUGGCUGUUUCCACCUUAGAAUUUCACCCCAUGUCUACUCAAGGCUAUUUAUGUUGUUCUCUUGUAGUAGCUAAUCUCCUCUAGUGUGGAGUAACUACAUCCAUUCACAGUGUGGCACGUCCCAAAACAUGCCACACUCUGCGGACAGAGCCUCCGUGCCUGAGAAUGUGAUUACAUCUAAUCAUAACUAUUUCAUUGUGCCAUCUAUUUGGAAAGCAAACAAACAAACAACAAACCACGGAGUUUCUGUGUUUUCACAGAUUUGGUUUGCAAGGUGUUUUUUUGUUUGUUUUUUUGUUUUUUAAAGAAGCACAACAAACCU
rnacentral:lncRNA from 1 species